UCGCUGUAGCAGUUGUCAGAAAUAUGAGAUUUAAUAAAGUUUGUGUGUUUGGAUGCUUUAGAGUGGAAUGAGAUAUUGUUCAACAAAUAUACGGAGAAAGUAGAUGGGAAUAUAUACAUUUGAGUUUUUCAGAAGUUUUCAUCAGAAGUACGCAAUACAUCGAUCCUCAGUUGACUACUAACUGAUUGGGAAUCAAUUCAAAGUUUAACUGAGAAGAAAUUAUAAUUAUUACAACUCAUUAAUUCAAAAGUAAACUACCCGUAAACGGAGAUUUUAAAGGUCGACGCUUACUGCCACUAGUUACACCUGGUUUUCUUCUGGAGAUGGACGUCGGCUGAACUCUUAUUGAAGCACCAGCUCGAUUGCAUAG